rnacentral:lncRNA from 1 species
GUAUUAUUGUUUUGAUUUAUUAAAAGGCGAGAUGCUUUCGUGGGUCAAUAUGCCUGGUAAAUUGGAUAAUAAUAAUGUACGUUGGCGAAGUAAUAGUUAGUUGAUGAAAUCCAUGUCUCGGUUUAGAGAUUGAUGAUACACCUUUAUGAAAUAAGUUAAGAGAAAGUCUAAAGAAAAUAAUCAAUAAAUUAAAUCGUCAGUAAUUUAAUUUAAUUGAAUCGUAUCUGAAUCUUACCAUGGGGAGUUAAAUAAGAUUUAAUGGUUGAAUUUUGAAUGAGUGCAAUUAUGAAUUUUUAGUGGAAUAAUUCAUAAUUAAUUAUGGUAGAUAUUAAUUUCAAAAAUUAUAUAUUAAUUCCAUAAUUGGAAGCCUUGGUAAUUAUAUUAUGUGGUCCCUAUUGUGCCUAAAUAAUAGGAAAUAAAUGAAUCCUUUUUCUGGUGGAAAAGAAAACUCAACAGGUUUUGGAAAAGGGUCUUAACCCUAAAAAAAUUUGCUAUAAAUCCAUAAGGUUUUCUACCUAGAAAAAAAGAUAUGGUGGCUGAAAUUUUCAGCCAAGUUUUCCUAGAAAUUUCUCCCACAUAAAAUUGUUAUUUUC